rnacentral:rRNA from 1 species
UAUUGGACAAUGGGGGAAACCCUGAUCCAGCAAUGCCGCGUGAAUGGUGAAGGCCCCCGGCUUGUAAAGUUCUUUCACCUGUGAAGAUAAUGACGGUAGCAGGAGAAGAAGCCCCGGCUAACUCCGUGCCAGCAGCCGCGGUAAGACGGAGGGGGCUAGCGUUGUUCGGAAUGACUGGGCGUAAAGGGCGCGUAGGCGGUUUUUUAAGUGAGGCGUGAAAGCCCUGGGCUUAACCCAGGAGGUGCGUUUCAUACUGGAAGACUUGAGUACGAGAGAGGAAAGCGGAAUUCCUAGUGUAGAGGUGAAAUUCGUAGAUAUUAGGAAGAACACCAGUGGCGAAGGCGGCUUUCUGCUAUGUAACUGACGCUGAGGCGCGAAA